CUCCCAACCCAGGCAGGUAUAUGCGGCCCUUACCUGUUUCCCCAAACAUAGACAGGUGCGCGGGGCCCUUUUCUGUUUCCCCAAACAUGGGCAGGCGCGCAGGGCCCUUACCUGUUUCCCCAAACACUGGAGGCGCGCGGGGCCCUUACCUGUUUCCCCA